rnacentral:rRNA from 1 species
GACGAACGCUGGCGGCGUGCUUAACACAUGCAAGUCGAACGGAAAGGCCCUGCUUUUGUGGGGUGCUCGAGUGGCGAACGGGUGAGUAACACGUGAGUAACCUGCCCUUGACUUUGGGAUAACUUCAGGAAACUGGGGCUACUACCGGAUAGGAGCUCCUGCUGCAUGGUGGGGGUUGGAAAGUUUCGGCGGUUGGGGAUGGACUCGCGGCUUAUCAGCUUGUUGGUUGGGUAGUGGCUUACCAAGGCUUUGACGGGUAGCCGGCCUGAGAGGGUGACCGGCCACAUUGGGACUGAGAGACGGCCCAGACUCCUACGGGAGGCAGCAGUGGGGAAUAUUGCACAAUGGGCGGAAGCCUGAUGCAGCAACGCCGCGUGCGGGAUGACGGCCUUCGGGUUGUAAACCGCUUUCGCCUGUGACGAAGCGUGAGUGACGGUAAUGGGUAAAGAAGCACCGGCUAACUACGUG